rfam:Rhodococcus rhodnii LMG 5362 LMG_5362_contig127, whole genome shotgun sequence.
CUGACGAUUCCGCGAACGGACCUCGUCGGCCGGAAGAUCGUCCGAUCGAACCACCACUGUCCGAUCGAACCGCAGGCCGACUUCGACUGCGGACCGACUACGGGAGAGACCGCUGAGCGUCACACU